CCCCGCCGGGACGGGACGGGACGGGACGUCCCGUCCCGACCACUCCCCCAUCCCCCUGGGCUUUCCUUUCGGGGGGACUCGUGUUUCCUGUUGAGCCCAGGCGGGCCAGCCGCGGAUGAGUCCUGUGCCUUGGAGUUGUAUGGUUUUUUUGGUUUUGUUUUUGUUUUUUCCUAGGGGUGCAGACCCGCACAAAUUCGUGAUACAACCGGCUUGGUGCGUGGGGCGAGUGUCGGCUCCCACGCGCGAUCCUGCCAUUCCUGCCAGUCCUCGGUCAUCCUGGUGGCCACAGCGCCACUGCCACAAACAUUCGGGAGCGGGGUGAGGAACACAAGCACAGUAUUUAAUCAAAAUCGGGGCCAUAAUUCAAUGUUCCUCUCUGCCUCUUAUGUCCCCAAAUCUGUUUGUAAGAGUAGGCUGAGGUAUUACCGUAUAUGUCCAUCAAAGCCAGAAUCACUAUUUCCGCAUUUCUUAAAAAGUGAGGCAAAUGAGUAAGAUCUACAGCUUGCCAGGUUUUGUACAUGUACCUAAAGAGUGGUGCUCAAAUACGUUGGUCCACUCUUAGGUCCAGGCAGUAUCUAAAUAUACCUAGUCCUUGAUCACUUUGUAACCGCAGAAGCAAAAAAGAAGCGACUUGCUCGAACGUGGCAUUUCUUCAUGGUUACAUUGAUAACCACCUCGCUGGACAUCAAAGCCCGCAAUUAAAAGAGGGGAGAAUAAGACGGGUGAAGGAGGACAGAAUUCAUAUCAAGAGGCAUCACAUUUCAAAACAGCGGAGCUGCUGGUGGAGCACCUCGGGUUUACCUUCUCCCUGCCAAGCACGCACCGUCUCCUCUGGAGGCUGCAUGAGCAGACAGCACGAACACUCGCCCACGGCCCUGCUACCCCAUCUGUAGCUCGUCUGUGCCACCUGCAGCACUGUGUUUGGAAGAGUUUUCAGAGAGCAUAUGUAAAGCCACACAAUUUCCUGUACUGAUGAUACUUCCUUUUUCUUGAUCAGCAUCCAGCAAGUCAUCCUAAAUUCUGCAUAUUGAAGAAACACACUUCCUGAUUUUUACUUUUUUUUUUAUUAAUAUCUCUGCCAGCAAGCUACCUUUCUGCUUCUCUAGACAGCACUUCUUUCCAUCCAGUCAUUUACUUGAGCUUCCUCGGUGUUAAAUUUGAAGCUUUGACAUUCUAUACUCCUGCUCCGUUGGAAACCUUGCCUCACCAGCCAACAGAGUAGCAGAAGUCAUAGCAGCUCCACCUCUAUAUCCCAGCAGAGACAGCUGCUGCCUGUCUUCAGUGCCUUGUCCAGGCAGAAAGACUUAAAAAGACAUGAAGGAAUUGCCAAAACUGUCAGCUAGGGCAGUAUUGUACAGGCAAGGAUGAAAUUCAUUGAUGGGUCCUCAAGAAGAGAACAGGCAUUUAGGUCUAACAUCCAAACAGAGCCAAGGCUAGAGUCUUUCAGGAAUGCUCUCUGCAAUGCUUUUCCUUUUUGCCUGCACCUCUGAAAAAUGGGCAAGGAUAUUUAGCAUAGGGUAGAUGUAGUUCAAGUUGUCCUACACCUUGCCUACUGACUUAGGAGCAAUCCCUGGGUACCAGCAGUGUACAGAAGGGCUGGGGCCAGGCAGCAUCCAAGCCUGCGUGUCCCGAAGCAUUUCAGGAGAGAGGGUUUUCCCUCACCGGGCUGGUGCCUGCCCUCUGUCGGUGCCGAGCACAGCCUUGUCCCUUCCUGCAGGGCUGCUGCCAACAGUAGAAAAUCUCAGCUGUUUAUGCUGAUGUGCCUCAUCCUGCUCACGUGGAAACCCUGGGCCACAAACAGAUUUAAGGAGAUGGGAAAGUAGAAUGCCCUCCAGCUGGAAAUUUCCAGAAGCCAGUGGAAGGGAAGACAAAUUAGUAACCCUGGGAAGACAGAACCCUGCAGCAACAUGACUUAUGUUUUGGCAUUCCCUUGUUUCUUUUAGUCUUUAUUUGGGUGCAGUUGUUACUACUUGCUGGAACAUGAAAUGCUUUGUCAGCUCCUUAGUUUGUUUUGGUUGUUGUUUUUCUUUUUUUUUUUUUCCAACAUUUAUGUGUUAUUAUAAUGGAACCACAAGGUGAAGCUGUCUGAGAAAAGGAUAUAAAAAGCCA